UUUUUUUUUUUUUCUAAAUUUUAUCAUUUUUUAUUUUAAAUUUGUCUUUUUUCUUGUGUCUAUGUCUUUUCUUGAGAAAUAGAGGAGAAAUAUGGAAGUAAUAGAGUAGGGUCUUCAAACCCUUUGCUCUAAGGAAGAAAAACAGAAAAGAGAUUUUCAACCCUUUGCUUUGAUGAAGGAGAAGAACAAAGCAGGGACUUCAACUCUUGGCUCUAAUAAAGGAGAAGAAGAGCAGGUUCUUAAACCCAGGCUCUUAAGUCAUGAAGAAGGAGAAGAAGAAGAAGA
rnacentral:misc_RNA from 1 species